UCAGACAGAGGUUCCAGAGAUGGCGGUAUUCUGGACAACACGUUUGCCGUGGACACAUUCGUAUUAUCAUUCCUCUACUGAUAUUUUGGUUUCUAUGGACUGAGAGGAAUGAUGCGAAGCAUAGAGGUAUUCGUAUGGUGGCCAGACGUAUUAUUUGGAGGGUCUACCGCAUGAUCUCCUUUCUUCAUAUGGGAGUACUAUUCCGAGUUGAG
rnacentral:lncRNA from 1 species